ensembl:lncRNA
GGAUGUAGUCCCAACAGUAUCCUGGCUCAGGUUCAGGGUGUAGUCCGGACAGGGUCCCGGCUCAGGUUCAGGAUGUAGUCCCGGCAGUGUCCCGGUUCAGGUUGAGGAUGUAGUCCUGGCAGUAUCCUGGCUCAGGUUCAGGAUGUAGUUCCGGCAGUGUCCCGGCUCAGGUUCAGGAUGUAGUCCGGACAGUAUCCUGGCUCAGGUUCAGGAUGUAGUCCCGGCAGUAUCCUGGCUCAGGUUCAGGAUGUAGUUCCGGCAGUGUCCCGGUUCAGGUUCAGGAUGUAGUCCGGACAGUAUCCUGGCUCAGGUUCAGGAUGUAGUCCCGGCAGUGUCCCGGUUCAGGUUCAGGAUGUAGUCCGGACAGUGUCCCGAUUCAGGUUCAGGAUGUAGUCCCGGCAGUGUCCCGGUUCAGGAUGUAGUCCGGACAGUGUCCCGAUUCAGGUUCAGGAUGUAGUCCCGGCAGUGUCCCG